UGCCAUAAAUUUAGGAGCAAAAGACGAGUUUCAGUAGCAACAAACUAAACAAAGAAAGCGACUAUCAGCUACUUUUUAUAUAUAAUGUUCAUCUUCUGAUAUAGU